ACUGGAAAGUGAAUCUGGAUUAUCAGGGUUUAAUUUAAUAUUGUUUUCGUUUACGUUGAAAAAUUUUUUUGUGUGAUUCAAAAAGCCUUGAUUUAUUAUUAUAUAAUUUUUUUUUAUUGUUAUUUUAUAUUUAUAUUAAAAUUUUUUUAUCAUUAUUUUUUCUUAGUAUUUGUUUGAAAUGCUUAUUUUAAAUUAUAGUUUAUUUUUAAUGUGAAUGAUUUUUUUUUAUUAUUUUAUAAGAAUUUUAUAUAUUUUACCUUUUGUAUCAGGGUUGAUUAAAUAAUUUUGUUUUAUUACUGUUUCUCGAAUUGUAGGGAUUUAUGUUGAUAUGAUUUUUUAUGUUUCAUAAUUAUUUUUAAUAUUGACAUGGUAGUGAUAUUCUAUUCGUACUUCAAUAUAUCUAGUUUUCUGAGAUUAAAUUUAAUUUUAAAUUUUUUUUGAACUUUAUUAUUUUCUAUUUAGUUUUUAAUUUUUUUUUAUUUUUUAAGGGUUAAGCUUUAAAUAUGAAUUAUAAUUUAAUAUAUUGAAUUUUCUUUUUAGGCUUGGAAUCAGCCAUUGUUUUAAUUGCGUUUUAGUUUAGUUAAUUUUUUAGUUAUUUUUUAUUUUAUUUAAUUUUAUUAUUGGAAUAUAUUCUUAAAUAUUUAAUGUUUAUUAAUAAUGAUUGAAUUAGUAUAAUUUUUUUAUUUAAAAUAUGUUUUUUUUGUAUUUAUUUUAAAGGAACUAGGCAAUUUUAUAGUAUUUCCGCCUGUUUAUCAAAAACAUCUCUUUUAGUUUUUAUUAAAGGUUGUACCUGCUCACUGAUUAAUUAAAGAGCCGCGGUAUUUUGACCGUGCAAAGGUAGCAUAAUCAUUAGCAUAUUAAUUGUGUGCUGGAAUGAAAGGUUUGACGAGAAAUAUACUGUCUCUAUUGUAUUUUUAUAAUUUUAUUUUCUAGUUAAAAAGCUGGGAUUUUUUUUUAGGACGAUAAGACCCUAUAGAGUUUGAUUCUACAUAUUUUAUUAUUUUGGGCUUAAUUAAUUAUUAAUAGUUAAUUUUAUUUUGAAUUUUGUUGGGGUGAUGUGAAUAAUAAUUAAACUAUUCAUUGUUUUUAUCAUUGAUUUAUGUUUUUUAUGAUCCUUUAUUAUUGAUUUAAAGAUAAAAUUACCUUAGGGAUAACAGCGCAAUUAUCUUUUAGAGUUCUUAUUGACAAGGUAGAUUGUGACCUCGAUGUUGGAUUAAGAUUUUUUUUAGGUGAAGGUGCUUAAUUUAAUUGGUC
rnacentral:rRNA from 1 species